GACGAACGCUGGCGGCGUGCUUAACACAUGCAAGUCGAACGGAAAGGCCCUGCUUUUGUGGGGUGCUCGAGUGGCGAACGGGUGAGUAACACGUGAGUAACCUGCCCUUGACUUUGGGAUAACUUCAGGAAACUGGGGCUAAUACCGGAUAGGAGCUCCUGCUGCAUGGUGGGGGUUGGAAAGUUUCGGCGGUUGGGGAUGGACUCGCGGCCUAUCAGCUUGUUGGUGGGGUAGUGGCUUACCAAGGCUUUGACGGGUAGCCGGCCUGAGAGGGUGACCGGCCACAUUGGGACUGAGAUACGGCCCAGACUCCUACGGGAGGCAGCAGUGGGGAAUAUUGCACAAUGGGCGGAAGCCUGAUGCAGCAACGCCGCGUGCGGGAUGACGGCCUUCGGGUUGUAAGCCGCUUUCGCCUGUGACGAAGCGUGAGUGACGGUAAUGGGUAAAGAAGCACCGGCUAACUACGUG
rnacentral:rRNA from 1 species